rnacentral:misc_RNA from 1 species
GAUGAAGAACGCAGCGAAAUGCAAUAAGUAAUGUGAAUUGCAGAAUUCAGUGAAUCAUCGAAUCUUUGAACGCACAUUGCGCCCUCUGGUAUUCCGGGGGGCAUGCCUGUUCGAGCGUCAUUACAACCCUCAAGCUUUGCUUGGUAUUGGACAUUGCCAGUUUCUGGCAGGUCUUAAAAUCAGUGGCGGUGCCAUUUGGCUUCAAGCGUAGUAAUUCUUCUCGCUUUGGAGAUCCAGGUGGUUACUUGCCAAUAACCCCCAAUUUUUUCAGGUUGACCUCGGAUCAGGUAGGGAUACCCGCUGAACUUAAGCAUAUCAAUAAGCGGAGGA